rnacentral:lncRNA from 1 species
UCUUCCUCCUCCUCCUCCUCCUCCUCUUCCUCGCGCCCCCCCCCCAUUUCGCUGUAGCUGGUCUUUUUCUCGGAGCACACCCCUAGUUCUGUCCGUAUGCAGUUCGUGCCGUGCUGUAGUUUUUAGAUGUUUGUAAAGAAUUAAAGAAAAAAAACAACAAAAAUGAUGAAAACCACGGAAACGACAAAAAAAAUAAUGAAAUCCCCCCCCCCCCCUUACGCCGUGUUACCCCAAUAACACCCAGCGGAGCCGCUUCGGAUCAGGACCAGGAGCUGUUUAUUUUUGGGGUCGGGGUUUGGGAUGCGGGGGGGCGUGAUGAGGGUUGGGGGGGGGGAAGAUUUACAUGGGGGGGGGGGCAAGAGGUGGACGCCUUGAAGGUGGCGUGGAGAAAAUCCCCCAAAUCGCCCCCCAAAAUUUGGGAGGGGAUUGAAAAUCCUCCAAAAAUUUGGGAUUGGAUUGAAAAUCCCCCAAAUCACCCCUAAAAAUUUGGGAGAGGAUUGAAAAUCCUCCAAAUCGCCCCCCAAAAAUCUGGGAGGGGAUUGAAAAUCCCCCCAAAAUUUGGGAGUGGAUUGAAAAUCCCCCAAAUUGCCCCUAAAAAAUUUGGGAGUGGAUUGAAAAUCCCCCAAAUCGCCCCCAAAAAUUUGGGAGUGGAUUGAAAAUCCUCCAAAUCACCCCAAAAAUUUGGGAGGGGAUUGAAAAUCCUCCAAAAAUUUGGGAGGGGAUUGAAAAUCCCCCAAAUCACCCCCCAAAAAUUUGGGAGGGGAUUGAAAAUCCCCCAAAUCAACCCCAAAAAUUUGGGAGGGAUUGAAAAUCCCCCAAAUCGCCCCCCAAAAAAAUUUGGGAGUGGAUUGAAAAUCCCCCAAAUCGCCCCCCAAAAUUUAGGAGGGGAUCAAUGGGAAGGCGCAGCGCGGGCUGGGUGUGUGGGGGGGGUCACCCCAAAAGCUGCGCCCCCAGAUCCUCCAUACCCUAAAAACGACCCCCAAAAAAACCCUAAAACGACCAAAACCCCCCCAAAACCCCCAUUUAGGGGCUCAGCAUCACGCCGAAGCGGCGUCGCCGGCCCCGCGCCGCUCGUGCUUGGACCCCCCCAGGCAGGGGGGCCGGGGGGGGACGUGGGGGUCUUGUUCCCACUGCUGGGGGGUCUUGGCGACGAUGGCGAGGGCGUGCAGGGGGCCGGCCAGUUCGGCGCUGAGGGCGGCGUGGAUCAGGCGGUGCCGUUGGAGGGGGGGGGAGGCCGACGAAAAGCCCGCUCACCACCACCACCGAAAA